rnacentral:rRNA from 1 species
AACGAACGCUGGCGGCAGGCCUAACACAUGCAAGUCGAACGCCCUAGCAGUAGGGAGUGGCAGACGGGUGAGUAACACGUGGGAACGUGCCCUUCGGUUUGGAAUAACUCAGGGAAACUUGAGCUAAUACCGGAUACGUGCGAGAGCGGAAAGAUUUGUCGCCGAGGGAUCGGCCCGCGUCCGAUUAGCUAGUUGGUGAGGUAACGGCUCACCAAGGCGACGAUCGGUAGCUGGGCAGAGAGGAUGAUCAGCCAAACUGGGACUGAGACACGGCCCAGACUCCUACGGGAGGCAGCAGUGGGGAAUAUUAGACAAGGGGCGCAAGCCUGAUCCAGCCAUGCCGCGUGAGUGAUGAAGGCCCUAGGGUUGUAAAGCUCUUUCGCCAGGGACGAUAAUGACGGUACCUGGAUAAGAAGCCCCGGCUAACUUCGUGCCAGCAGCCGCAGUAA